UACGAAGGGUGCAAACGUUGCUCGGAAUUAUUGGGCGUAAAGCGCACGUAGGCGGCUCUGCAAGUCGGAUGUGAAAUCCCUCGGCUCAACCAAGGAAGUGCAUCCGAAACUGCGGAGCUUGAGUACUUAAGAGGAUCGCGGAAUUCCCGGUGUAGAGGUGAAAUUCGUAGAUAUCGGGAGGAACACCAGUGGCGAAGGCGGCGAUCUGGGAAGAUACUGACGCUGAGACGCGAAAGCGUGGGGAGCGAACAGG
rnacentral:rRNA from 1 species